AGUGAACGCUGGCGGUAGGCCUAACACAUGCAAGUCGAACGGCAGCACAGUAAGAGCUUGCUCUUACGGGUGGCGAGUGGCGGACGGGUGAGGAAUACAUCGGAAUCUACUUUUUCGUGGGGGAUAACGUAGGGAAACUUACGCUAAUACCGCAUACGACCUACGGGUGAAAGCAGGGGAUCUUCGGACCUUGCGCGAUUGAAUGAGCCGAUGUCGGAUUAGCUAGUUGGCGGGGUAAAGGCCCACCAAGGCGACGAUCCGUAGCUGGUCUGAGAGGAUGAUCAGCCACACUGGAACUGAGACACGGUCCAGACUCCUACGGGAGGCAGCAGUGGGGAAUAUUGGACAAUGGGCGCAAGCCUGAUCCAGCCAUACCGCGUGGGUGAAGAAGGCCUUCGGGUUGUAAAGCCCUUUUGUUGGGAAAGAAAAGCAGCAGGUUAAUACCCCGCUGUUCUGACGGGACCCAAAGAAGAAGCACCGGCGAACUGCGU
rnacentral:rRNA from 1 species